rnacentral:lncRNA from 1 species
AAAACUGGUCUUGGAAAGAUAUAACAUAAAGCAGAAUGACCCAAUACAUAUCCUAUAAAAAUGAGUAACACAAACAUGAUUUGAGAAAAUGGAAUGAGAUUGUAACCAAUUGUUCUUAUUACUCAAUAAUGAGAGCUAAAAAUCUAGCAACCAAAAUGACAUGUAUUGAAGAAAGUUCCAACUUCUGAAGGUCAGAAUUACAAAAGUAAAAAAUGAUGAAAAACCUAAAAAAAACUGAAUGGUGGGUUGGAGCUAGCUAGACCCUUUGUUUAUAGAAGUUAUAUCUGCCACAAACUCCUGCAAAAUUCCUUUCAUUUUUCCUCUUCCAUAGUUCCUAUUUUCUGUUUACUAAUGAUUAUAUCCUCACCAUUAGCUUCUUUCAUGUCAUCAUUUCAUGUUUCUUUAAUCAUAGCAUCCUUAUUGUCCACCCUUAGGUACUUCUGUUAGAAAUAAUGUAACACCACAAAAAAAUUGUCAUAUACCUACGGACGAAAACCAUUGGUAAAUAUUAAAAAACCAUAAGUAUAGCACAAAAAACUUUUACCUACAGACGUUUUUCUCUGUCGUAUUUAAGUCGAUAUACCUAUGGAUUUUUGUCCAUAGGUAUAGCACUUAACAUUAUACCUUCAGGUUUUGUCCAUCACUACAGGUGUUUAUACCUACAGAUAUUAUGUGUCACUAUAGAAUUUAGUGAUGACAAUCAUUAACGUAGGUAUAAAGCUAAAACUUAUACCUUUAGUUUUUCCUUCACUAUAGAUUAAUAUUUUUGCUAUACCUACGGUUAUAUUUCAUUAGUAUAAGUAUUGAUGAUAUCAAAAGAAUCAUACAUAUACCCACAAUUAGAUUUCUACCUAUUUUAGUGACUCAUCUUAACUUAAAAUCAUAAUUUGAAUUUAUAGUGAAAAAAUACAUAUCUAAACACUCAUUAUAUUUAAAAUUAAAAAAGUCAUACGAUCAGAUGAAGGACAUUAGUUAAAUAUCUUGAUCUAAAAUAAAAUAACUACAUAUCAUAUACAUAAAAAGUUUUAUAAUCCUAAAAAGUACACAUUUUAGAUGUCUAUCUAAAUAUAUAAAAAUUCUCUUUCAAAAAAAUUCAAAAUGGUUAAUUUCCAAUUUGUUGUAUCAAAAAGAAAUUAUUUACUAACAUUCACCUACAAAGAAUAAAAAAGACACAAUGAAUGAAUAAAACAACUCAUUAAAAAACUCUAGUAAUAAAAAAUGUUAUAUCAUUUUCAUUAUCUUCAUUUCAAUCAGAGUUUGGAGAAUCAAAAGAAGUUGGGGUAGUAGAAGAAUCUUUAACCUAUUAAAAAUGAAAACAAAAGAAUAUAGUGAGCUAUUUUGGUGGAAUUUGUUUUGUCCUUAACUCAAAGUACCAUAUGUAGUUAUAUACUCUCACAGUCAACUCAAUGACAAAUAUCCAAUGCAUAUAAAUCAAAAUAGUCAACCCAGUAUCCCUUCAUUAUCACGUGCUUGAACAUUGUGGCUCAAGUCUUAAAUUAUACGACACCCCAUAUUAAUUCUUUUUCUCGUUCCCAUUGUAACUCUUAUAUUUGUCGAAAACUACAUUAUAAAAUAGUAUAGUCAGAAAGAUUCCAUUCUCAAUCAUUUAUGAGAAUAAAAUCAAUCCCAUUCCCUAACUCACUGGCAUACACUAUAGGAAAAAGAUAAAUAGAGAAAAUAUAUAUAGUAAUUACACAUUAUAUUGAUGCAUUUGUUAAAAAAUUAAAAUUAAAUAAACUUUGUAUUAUAACCAUGACAUGUGACUCAAAUGGCAAAUUGAGCUCUAUAUAAAUAAACUUUAAUGAUUAUGAUGGUAAAUGACUAAAGUUAGUUGGAGAAUACAAAGCUUAAACCACUAAUCUCUGGGUCAAAUACAACCAAGGACAAAUGAAGUGGAGAAAGGAAUCUACUAGGGUACUAAAGAAUGGUACCAAUUAACCUUCCUGAUUAAAGAAGAGAAAUCAUUUUUAGGUCGUGUUGAUUAUAAAGUGUAUACUAAACAUAAAUAGGAAUAUGAAAAUAUGACCUUCUUCAUAGAGUAACUACAGCUGGAAGCAUCGACAAGGUGCACUAAUAUAUGUGAGGGGACCUCAUUUUAAUAAACACCAUAAGAGAACAUGAACACAAUAAUUUCAAAUAAGUUGAUAACUUUGUUUUUACUCAUGCUCACAAUCUAAGAUUGGUAGACAAAUAUAGGAAGCACUUUCUAUUGUUAAACUUCAUUGAGCACAUUAGUUACAUUCUACAACUCACAUAUAUUCAACUCUGAAACAUACAUAUGAUAAUUCUCUAGGCAUAAAUAAUGGACAAUUUUUUUGACAAACAUGGUAUACACUAUAGGACUGAAGCUGUGAACAAUGAAGGAUCAAAGUAUUAAACAAUAAACUCCUUGAUUUAUUGGUUUACAUAAUAUGCUAAGAUAAUGUAACAUAUUUGUGUAAGCCUACUCAGCAAUCUCAAAAGCAAUUUAAAAUUAUGGAUAAAAAAAGUGAGAAAUACAUUCAGAUAAACCAUGUUAAAGGAAGAAACCAAAUAAAAAAUUAGGGAAAGCUAUCUAGGAUCUAUACUUCCCCACUUUAAACUAUAAUAUAAAGAAAUAAAAGAUAGUUAUAUCUACUUCUAUAGUGUACUAGAAAUUAGAAACAUUGUCACUGUGUGACAUUCAUCUAAACAAAAAUUAGAAGAGAUAUAUCAUCACUAUAUAUAGAGAGGGUGACGGUGAGUUCAAACACUAUCACCCACAUUAAUUUCAAACACCAUUAUUGUAGCGUCUACUAGCAAGAAAUUGCCUAGACUUGACAAAGGAAACACAAAAUUACUAUUCAUGGAAACACAAAACAUAGAUCAAGUGACUAUAAUACUUGACAACGAAAAUACAAAAUUAACAAAACCUAAUAACAAAUAAAUGGUUGAAAGAUUAUUAUAGAACAUUAUGAUUUAAUUUCAAUUUUUUUGAACUUUCAAUCCAAAAUGAUUAAAAUUUCAAGGGAAACAUAAGUAAAGAGAGCAAAGAUUGGACAAGAAAUAGAGAAGAGAGAAGUGUUACCUGAAACUGUGUGAAGAAAUAGAGAAGAGAUAGUUGUUUAGUGAAGAUUGGAGAAGAAAUAGAGAUUGUGCUUUCUGAAACCGUUUGGAGAAGAGGGUUUGCUUAGUCUCUACUUAUUAUGUUUU